UCUUGCCCUGUUUUAAAACUAUUUGUGCUGCUAAAUGUAGAACAGGCUAUUUUUCUUUCAUUACUAUGAGAACCCAAAUCCCCAUUCUUGGGGGAAAUCCAUAACACUGGCACCAGUUGGAAGGAUGAGGUGAAAGGAUUGCUAGAGGACUGCUCACUGAAGCCGCUGAACCUGUAGAAUUUCUGUCUGUAUAUUAUAGUGGGUGUCACUUUGGGGAAGCACUGCUUUUUGUACACUAUAUGUUUAAAAAAUCAAUUCAUAUAUUGUGGAUUGUAUUGGAUUUAGUCAUUGAUCUGAGCAGUGCAACUGACAAACAUAGUAGUGGAGCAAGCCACUGGUUGGGUGAAGGGAAGUGAUGGUUGUUCCAGUUAUGUCAGUGCUUGAGCUGGUGGUUGAUCCUAUUAGUUGUGCUUGUACAAAAGCAACACCAGGAGCAGAACCACCUUUUCAGAAAACCUUGCUUUGUCUUCAACAUGAAUGACUGAGGAAGUGUUUGCUGCAUUUCACAUCAAAAUUCUUAACAGUGACGUUGAAGAUAGCUGUCGCUUACCAACAAAUUAUUUAGAUUCCUCUGGGGAGGUCUUUGGAAAACACUUUAAAAAAUAAUGCAAUACUUUCUUCCAAAAUGUACUAAGCUGGCAUGUUUUCAUAGCUCAGAAUUUAUUAGAAAGGUCCAGGGGAAUUAUAGAUGGCACACAACAACAUUCCAGUUGAGAAGGAAUUGGAAAUUAAGUGUAAGGUAUGGUUGAUUUCUUUUCAAAAGCUGUGAGAGUUUCAAAAGUCGGAUAAGGUAGUAUGGAAUGGAGAGCAGGAGGCCAGCAUGAUGACGAACAGGUUUUGUACACUCAAGAGAUAAAAGCUACACAUCCCUACUGCCUCUUCUAAAGGCACCACAGGUCAUUAAUGUAGCUGAAAGCUCAAGCAUGAUAAGAACGAAAAUACUUGUGAAAAAUCAAUUCAUUCUAUACAGAUAGAUAUAGAUAUAAAAUGCAGAUAGGAGCACUUGUACCAAAUUGCUAGCCCCAAGUGUUGCUUUCCCCCAUAAACCUGAUCAAAUUGCAGCCAUUAUAUCACAUUGCAACAUACAAAUCUCCACAGUCCUUGCCUCAACUCUGCUAUUAUUUCAAAAAGGCACAGAAUGUAAGUUGCUGUCUCCCAUCCAGAAUACCAGAGAUCAACUGUAUGCCUACACUUUUGUCUGUAUUUGUACAGAAUCCCUGCGGCAAUAUCUGUCUUCAACAUCAACUGGCAAAAAUUAUGACAGCAUGAGAAGUGUGGAUACAGAAACAACAAGAUAUGGUUACCGUUGAGGACUACCGGAAAACUACAAUGGGUCCAGAAUACAGCGGCUCGUUUACUGAUGGGUGCCAGAAAAUAUGACAAGACUCCUCCAAAGAGCAGCUUUCCAUGAUUUGACCUGGAGAAAAUCAAAAGGAAGACCACACCCCAGUAUUACUUGAUACUCCUUGAAUAAAAGGAAUUGCCUUAUUCACUUAACCAUUGCUCCAUAUGCAGAACUG